rnacentral:tRNA from 1 species
GCUCCUAUGGCGAAAUUGGCAAACGCGCUGACUUCAAGUAUCAGUAUCGAAAGGUUUCCGAGUUCGAGUCUCGGUAGGAGCA